rfam:Candidatus Methanoregula boonei 6A8, complete genome.
GAGAGGGAGAGAGCGGCUGACGGUGGUCUUUUAUGAUCGCUGAGGAAAGUCCCCCCACCUUCCGGACACGCAGCCGUAUGCAAGUACGGGUGGCGAGAGUCACGGCAAUGGCACAGAAACGACACGGCCUGUUCCCAGUUAUGAUGCGGCCGAGCCCCCCGGGGCGAGAAACGCGGUUGUUGCCGCGUGAGUAACCCGUUGAGCGCUUUAACGGAACAGGAUACGAUGAAACGGCGAAUCCCUGCGGGUGCAAGCCAGAACAGGGCAAUGGAUCGUCCGGUAUCCGCCCGGGUAUGGUGCAGAGCUGAAUGCCGCACGAACAGAAGGAGGCUUACUCCUCCCACUC